rnacentral:rRNA from 1 species
GACGAACGCUGGCGGCGUGCCUAAUACAUGCAAGUCGAACGCAGUGGGGACGGGUGAGUAACCCGUGGGUAACCUCCCAUCAGAGGGGAUAACACUUGGAAACAGGUGCUAACCCGCUACUGAUGGAUGGACCCGCGGUGCAUUAGCUAGUUGGUGCGGUAACGUCUCACCAAGGCCACGAUGACUAGCGGACCUGAGAGGGUGAUCGGCCACACUGGGACUGAGAAACGGCCCAGACUCCUACGGGAGGCAGCAGUAGGGAAUAUUGGGCAAUGGGCGAAAGUCUGAUCGAGCAACGCCGCGGGAGUGAAGAAGGUUGUAGGAUCGUAAAACACUGUUGGUAGGGAAGCGUUAUCUAACCAGAAAGCAACGGCUAACUACGUGCCAGCAGCCGCGGUAAUAC